rnacentral:tRNA from 1 species
GGUGGGAUACCCAAGCGGCCAAAGGGAGCAGACUGUAAAUCUGCCGUCAUCGACUUCGAAGGUUCGAAUCCUUCUCCCACCA